rnacentral:rRNA from 1 species
AUUGACCUCAAAUCAGGUAGGACUACCCGCUGAACUUAAGCAUAUCAAUAAGCGGAGGAAAAGAAACUAACAAGGAUUCCCCUAGUAACUGCGAGUGAAGCGGGAAAAGCUCAAAUUUAAAAUCUGGUAGUCUUUGGCUGCCCGAGUUGUAAUCUAGAGAAGCAUUAUCCGCGCUGGACCGUGUACAAGUGUCCUGGAAUGGACUAUCAUAGAGGGUGAGAAUCCCGUCUUUGACACGGACUCCCAGGGCUUUGUGAUGUGCUCUCAAAGAGUCGAGUUGUUUGGGAAUGCAGCUCUAAAUGGGUGGUAAAUUCCAUCUAAAGCUAAAUAUUGGCGAGAGACCGAUAGCGAACAAGUACCGUGAGGGAAAGAUGAAAAGAACUUUGGAAAGAGAGUUAAACAGUACGUGAAAUUGCUGAAAGGGAAACGCUUGAAGUCAGUCGCGUCGGCUGGGGAUCAACCUUGCUUCUUGCUUGGCUUACUUCCCAGUUGACGGGUCAGCAUCAGUUUUGACCAGUGGAUAAAGG